UACGGAGGGUGCAAACGUUGCUCGGAAUCAUUGGGCGUAAAGCGCACGUAGGCGGUCCGUUAAGUCGGGAGUGAAAGCCCCAGGCUCAACUUGGGAAGUGCUUUCGAAACUGGCGGACUUGAAUACUGAAGAGGAUCGCGGAAUUCCCGGUGUAGAGGUGAAAUUCGUAGAUAUCGGGAGGAACACCAGCGGCGAAGGCGGCGAUCUGGGCAGAUAUUGACGCUGAGGUGCGAAAGCGUGGGGAGCAAACAGG
rnacentral:rRNA from 1 species